CGACAGCAAUAUGAAGGUCAGGCUGAAGACCUUAUCCGAUUAGCUGAGGGGUGGUGCAUGGCCGUCGUCAGUUCGUACUGUGAAGCAUCCUGUUAAGUCAGGCAACGAGCGAGACCCACGUCCACAGUUGCCAGCAUACCCUCCGGGGUGAUGGGUACACUGUGGAGACCGCCGCUGCUAAAGCGGAGGAAGGAGUGGGCAACGGUAGGUCAGUAUGCCCCGAAUCUCCCGGGCUACACGCGGGCUACAAUGGUUGGUACAAUGGGCAUCUACCCCGAAAGGGGAAGGAAAUCUCUUAAAGCCAAUCGUAGUUCGGAUUGAGGGCUGCAACUCGCCCUCAUGAAGCUGGAAUCCGUAGUAAUCGCGUUUCAACAGAACGCGGUGAAUACGUCCCUGCUCCUU
rnacentral:rRNA from 1 species